rnacentral:rRNA from 1 species
GUGAAGAAGCGCAUACGGUGGAUGCCUUGGCAGUCAGAGGCGAUGAAAGACGUGGUAGCCUGCGAAAAGCUUCGGGGAGUCGGCAAACAGACUUUGAUCCGGAGAUCUCUGAAUGGGGGAACCCACCUAGGAUAACCUAGGUAUCUUGUACUGAAUCCAUAGGUGCAAGAGGCGAACCAGGGGAACUGAAACAUCUAAGUACCCUGAGGAAAAGAAAUCAACCGAGAUUCCCUUAGUAGUGGCGAGCGAACGGGGAUUAGCCCUUAAGCUUCAUUGAUUUUAGCGGAACGCUCUGGAAAGUGCGGCCAUAGUGGGUGAUAGCCCCGUACGCGAAAGGAUCUUUGAAGUGAAAUCGAGUAGGACGGAGCACGAGAAACUUUGUCUGAACAUGGGGGGACCAUCCUCCAAGGCUAAAUACUACUGACUGACCGAUAGUGAACCAGUACCGUGAGGGAAAGGCGAAAAGAACCCCGGAGAGGGGAGUGAAAUAGAACCUGAAACCGUAUGCGUACAAGCAGUGGGAGCCUACUUGUUAGGUGACUGCGUACCUUUUGUAUAAUGGGUCAGCGACUUAUAUUCAGUGGCAAGCUUAACCGUAUAGGGUAGGCGUAGCGAAAGCGAGUCUUAAUAGGGCGUUUAGUCGCUGGGUAUAGACCCGAAACCGGGCGAUCUAUCCAUGAGCAGGUUGAAGGUUAGGUAACACUGACUGGAGGACCGAACCCACUCCCGUUGAAAAGGUAGGGGAUGACUUGUGGAUCGGAGUGAAAGGCUAAUCAAGCUCGGAGAUAGCUGGUUCUCCUCGAAAGCUAUUUAGGUAGCGCCUCAUGUAUCACUCUGGGGGGUAGAGCACUGUUUCGGCUAGGGGGUCAUCCCGACUUACCAAACCGAUGCAAACUCCGAAUACCCAGAAGUGCCGAGCAUGGGAGACACACGGCGGGUGCUAACGUCCGUCGUGAAAAGGGAAACAACCCAGACCGCCAGCUAAGGUCCCAAAGUUGUGGUUAAGUGGUAAACGAUGUGGGAAGGCUUAGACAGCUAGGAGGUUGGCUUAGAAGCAGCCAUCCUUUAAAGAAAGCGUAAUAGCUCACUAGUCGAGUCGGCCUGCGCGGAAGAUGUAACGGGGCUCAAACCACACACCGAAGCUGCGGGUGUCACGUAAGUGACGCGGUAGAGGAGCGUUCUGUAAGCCUGUGAAGGUGAGUUGAGAAGCUUGCUGGAGGUAUCAGAAGUGCGAAUGCUGACAUGAGUAACGACAAUGGGUGUGAAAAACACCCACGCCGAAAGACCAAGGGUUCCUGCGCAACGUUAAUCGACGCAGGGUUAGUCGGUUCCUAAGGCGAGGCUGAAAAGCGUAGUCGAUGGGAAACAGGUUAAUAUUCCUGUACUUCUGGUUACUGCGAUGGAGGGACGGAGAAGGCUAGGCCAGCUUGGCGUUGGUUGUCCAAGUUUAAGGUGGUAGGCUGAAAUCUUAGGUAAAUCCGGGGUUUCAAGGCCGAGAGCUGAUGACGAGUCGUCUUUUAGAUGACGAAGUGGUUGAUGCCAUGCUUCCAAGAAAAGCUUCUAAGCUUCAGGUAACUAGGAACCGUACCCCAAACCGACACAGGUGGUCGGGUAGAGAAUACCAAGGCGCUUGAGAGAACUCGGGUGAAGGAACUAGGCAAAAUGGCACCGUAACUUCGGGAGAAGGUGCGCCGGCUAGGGUGAAGGAUUUACUCCGUAAGCUCUGGCUGGUCGAAGAUACCAGGCCGCUGCGACUGUUUAUUAAAAACACAGCACUCUGCAAACACGAAAGUGGACGUAUAGGGUGUGACGCCUGCCCGGUGCCGGAAGGUUAAUUGAUGGGGUUAGCGCAAGCGAAGCUCUUGAUCGAAGCCCCGGUAAACGGCGGCCGUAACUAUAACGGUCCUAAGGUAGCGAAAUUCCUUGUCGGGUAAGUUCCGACCUGCACGAAUGGCGUAACGAUGGCGGCGCUGUCUCCACCCGAGACUCAGUGAAAUUGAAAUCGCUGUGAAGAUGCAGUGUAUCCGCGGCUAGACGGAAAGACCCCGUGAACCUUUACUGUAGCUUUGCACUGGACUUUGAGCCUGCUUGUGUAGGAUAGGUGGGAGGCUUUGAAGCGUGGACGCCAGUUCGCGUGGAGCCAUCCUUGAAAUACCACCCUGGCAUGCUUGAGGUUCUAACUCUGGUCCGU